GAUGAACGCUAGCUACAGGCUUAACACAUGCAAGUCGCGGGGCAGCAUGGGGGUUGCUUGCAAUCCCCGAUGGCGACCGGCGCACGGGUGAGUAACGCGUAUCCAACCUGCCCUUCACCACGGGAUAACCCGGCGAAAGUCGGACUAAUACCGUAUGUUGUCCAUUGACGGCAUCCGAUUUGGACGAAAGGCUUGGCGGUCAGGGAUGGGGAUGCGUCCGAUUAGCCAGACGGCGGGGUAACGGCCCACCGUGGCGACGAUCGGUAGGGGUUCUGAGAGGAAGGUCCCCCACACUGGAACUGAGACACGGUCCAGACUCCUACGGGAGGCAGCAGUGAGGAAUAUUGGUCAAUGGGCGUAAGCCUGAACCAGCCAAGUAGCGUGCAGGAUGACGGCCCUAUGGGUUGUAAACUGCUUUUAUGCGGGGAUAAAGUGGCCCACGUGUGGGCUUUUGCAGGUACCGCAUGAAUAAGGACCGGCUAAUUCCGUG
rnacentral:rRNA from 1 species